rnacentral:rRNA from 1 species
CCUACGGGGGGCAGCAGUAGGGAAUAUUGCGCAAUGGAGGAAACUCUGACGCAGCGACGCCGCGUGGGUGACGAAGGCCUUCGGGUUGUAAAGCCCUGUCGGGAGGGAAGAAAAACAAUAUGGCUAAUAUCCAUAAUGCUUGACGGUACCUCUAAAGGAAGCACCGGCUAACUACGUGCCAGCAGCCGCGGUAAUACGUAGGGUGCUAGCGUUGUUCGGAAUCAUUGGGCGUAAAGCGCGUGUAGGCUGUUUAUUAAGUCGGGUGUGAAAUCCCUGGGCUCAACCGAGGAAGUGCAUCCGAAACUAAUAAACUUGAAGACGGUAGAGGAAGGUGGAAUUCCAAGUGUAGAGGUGAAAUUCGUAGAUAUUUGGAGGAAUACCGGUGGCGAAGGCGGCCUUCUGGGCCGUUCUUGACGCUGAGACGCGAAAGCGUGGGUAGCAAACAGGAUUAGAUACCCCUGUAGUC